rnacentral:rRNA from 1 species
ACGGGUGAGUAAUACAUCGGAACGUGUCCGCUCGUGGGGGACAACCAGCCGAAAGGUUGGCUAAUACCGCAUGAGUUCUACGGAAGAAAGAGGGGGACCCGCAAGGGCCUCUCGCGAGCGGAGCGGCCGAUGACUGAUUAGCCGGUUGGUGAGGUAACGGCUCACCAAAGCAACGAUCAGUAGCUGGUCUGGGAGGACGACCAGCCACACUGGGACUGAGACACGGCCCAGACUCCUACGGGAGGCAGCAGUGGGGAAUUUUGGACAAUGGGCGCAAGCCUGAUCCAGCUAUUCCGCGUGUGGGAUGAAGGCCCUCGGGUUGUAAACCACUUUUGUAGAGAACGAAAAGACACCUUCGAAUAAAGGGUGUUGCUGACGGUACUCUAAGAAUAAGCACCGGCUAACUACGUGCCAGCAGCCGCGGUAAUACGUAGGGUGCGAGCGUUAAUCGGAAUUACUGGGCGUAAAGGGUGCGCAGGCGGUUGAGUAAGACAGAUGUGAAAUCCCCGAGCUUAACUCGGGAAUGGCAUUUGUGACUGCUCGACUAGAGUGUGUCAGAGGGAGGUGGAAUUCCACGUGUAGCAGUGAAAUGCGUAGAUAUGUGGAAGAACACCGAUGGCGAAGGCAGCCUCCUGGGACAUAACUGACGCUCAGGCACGAAAGCGUGGGGAGCAAACAGGAUUAGAUACCCUGGUAGUCCACGCCCUAAACGAUGUUAACUAGUUGUUGGGAAGUAAAAUUCUCAGUAACGCAGCCAACG